UUAAAAAUAAAUUUUUUAAAUAUACUCUUUUUAAUUUUUUAAUAAUUUAAUUAAUUAAAAUUUAAUAGUUAAAUAAUAAUAUAUAAAAAUAUAUAAUUAUUAUAAAAUUAAAAAAUUAAUUUAAAAAUUAACUUAAAUUUAAGAAAAAUUUAUUUUUUUUACCUUUUGUAUCAGGAUUAAUCAAAAAAUUAUUUAAAUUAAUAAUUCUCGAAUUUAAAAAAUUUAAAUUUUUUUAAUUUUAUUAAUAUAGAAUUAUUAAAUAAAAUAAAAAUUUAGAAACUACAAAUUAAUCAAUUUUAAAAAUAUCUAGUUAUUUAGAAAAUAAAUUUAAUUUAAUUUUAAUUUAAAAAUAUUUUUUUAAAAAAUUUCAAUAAAAUUAAAAAAAUAAUUUAAGGGAUAAACUUUAAAUUAAAAUUAUAAAUUUAAAUUAAUUUAAUUUUAUAAUUUAAAAAUAAAAUUUUUUUUAAUUAAUAAAUAUUUAAUAAUUUUAUAAAAUCUAAUAAAAAUUUAAAAAUUAAUUUUUAAUUAAUUUACUAAAUUAUAAAAAAUAAUUAAAAUAUUUUAAAAACAAUGAUUAAAUUAGUAAUUAAUAAAAUUAAAUUUUAUAUAAUAAAAAUUUAUAAUUAAAUUUAAUUAAUUAAGCAAAUUUAUAUUCACCUGUUUAACAAAAACAUGUCUUAUUGAAAAUAAUUUUAAGUCAAAUCUGCUCAAUGAAAAUUUUAAAUAGCUGCAGUAUCCUUAACUGUACUAAGGUAGCAUAAUAAUUAGUUUUUUAAUUAAAAACUUGAAUGAACGAUUUAAUGAAAUAUAAACUGUAUCAAAUUUAUUAAAUAAAAUUUUUAUUUAAAUAAAAAAAUUUAAAUAAAUAUUAAAGACGAGAAGACCCUACAGAAUUUUUAUAAUUUUACAAUAAAAAUAAUUUUAAAAUUAUUUUAAUUGGGGAAAUUUUAAAAUUUAUUAAAUUUUUAAUUAAAUAAACAUAAAUUUUUGAAUAUUUAAAAUUUUUUAAAAAAUAAAAUUAAAUUACCUUAGGGAUAACAGCAUAAUUUUUUUUAAAAGUUCAUAUUUAAAAAAAAGUUUAUGACCUCGAUGUUGAAUUAAGAUUAAUUUAAUAGAAAAAUAUUAAAAAUUUAAGUCUGUUCGACUUUUAAAAUCUUACAUGAUUUGAGUUAAGAUCGGUGUAAGCCAGAUCGGAUUCUAUCUUAAUAAAUAAUUUAUAUUAUUGUACGAAAGGAAUUAAUAUUAAAAAUAAUUUUUUAAAAUAAAUAAAUUCAUAAU
rnacentral:rRNA from 1 species